CAAAAGGAGCAAAAGCGUUGUGUUGUUCAUUCUUGAGUUAAGUUGCUUGCUUGUUCCUGGUUCACUCGUAUCCGAAGCCGAUGCACAGAGCGUUCAAAGUUUUAUCGAAAACUCUAACACCCAUCGCUUCAAAUGGCAUCUUCUCAUUGGGAUCAUCUUCUUCUUCUUCUUCUUCUUCUUCUUCUUCUUUACUAUUCCAAUUCCAUUCCUACAGCAACUCUUCUUCUCCAAUUGGUUCUCCAACCAGAGUCCAAAAACUCAUUGCUUCCCAAUCAGACCCUCUUCUCGCCAAAGAAAUCUUCGACUACGCUUCUCUUCAACCCAAUUUCCGUCACACUUACUCAACCUACCUCAUCCUUCUUCUCAAAUUCGGUCGCUCCAAACACUUCUCUCUCCUCGACGAUCUCCUCCGUCGUCUCAAAUCUGAUUCCCAACCCAUUACCCCCACUCUCUUCUCUUACUUGAUUCAAAUCUACGCCCAAGCUGAUUUGCCUGAUAAAGCCCUCAACACCUUCUACACCAUGUUGCAAUUCAAUUGCAAGCCUUUAACCAAACACCUUAACCGCAUUCUCGUCUUUCUCGUUUCCCAUCGGAAUUACGUUCGACCCGCUUUUGAUCUAUUCAAGGAUGCUCACAAACAUGGUGUGUUCCCCGACACUAAGUCCUACAACAUUCUCAUGAGGGCUUUCUGUCUCAAUGGGGAUAUCAGCAUUGCCUACACACUGUUCAACAAAAUGUUUCAGAGAGAUGUUAUUCCCGAUAUCGAGUCUUACCGGAUUUUGAUGCAGGCUUUGUGUAGGAAAAGUCAGGUCAAUGGAGCUGUUGAUCUUUUGGAGGAUAUGUUGAACAAAGGGUUUGUUCCUGAUUCUUUGACUUAUACAACUUUGUUGAAUAGUUUGUGUAGGAAGAAGAAGCUUAGGGAAGCUUAUAAGCUUCUUUGUAGGAUGAAGGUUAAAGGGUGCAAUCCCGACAUAGUUCAUUAUAAUACGGUUAUAUUAGGAUUCUGUAGAGAAGGGCGUGCCAGCGAUGCUUGCAAAGUUCUCGAUGACAUGCGGGCUAAUGGAUGCUUGCCUAAUCUAGUUUCUUAUAGGACUUUGGUAAAUGGUUUAUGUGAUUUGGGAAUGCUUGAUGAGGCAACUAAAUAUGUGGAGGAAAUGAUGUCCAAAGGUUUUUCUCCACAUUUUGCUGUCAUCCAUGCCUUAGUGAAGGGGUUAUGCAAUAUUGGUAGGAUUGAGGAAGCAUGUGGAGUUCUUACCAAAUCACUAGAGCAUAGGGAAGCUCCUCAUACAGAUACUUGGAUGAUCGUAGUACCCCAAAUAUGUGAAGUGGAUGAUGGUUUGAAAAUUGGUGGUGUUUUGGAGGAAGUUCUUAAGAUUGAAAUCAAAGGUCAUACUAGAAUUGUGGAUGCUGGCAUUGGUUUGGAAGACUACUUGAUUAGGAAAAUACGAGCCAAGUCAAGGCAAUUUUAAACUUAUGUGGAACUUGCAACUUACAAGCAUGCUUUUGUCAUCCAUUCGUGUUGGAAUUCUGCUGGAGCAGCCGUGUUGGAAUUCUCGCCUACUCGCUGCCCUUCCUCUUUAUUCAUAAGGGAUUGUGGAAAGGAGCUCACUUGAUACCACCUAUGGUCAAGUUGGAUGCAUUUGAUACUGAUUGCUUUCUCAAAGCUUUUUGAAUUUCAAUCGAGGAUACAAAUCAAAUAAAUGGUUGCAAUCUUGGUUGAAGAUGUUGUCAAAGCUAGUUGAAGGUGCUGCACAGGCUGGAGAUAGUUUGCUGUAACAUUUUGAUCUUUACGAUCUUUUACUUUGAGAUUGUAAUCAAUGUAAUAUAUCCAUUCUUACACACUGUAAUUGUGUUCAUGAAUCUAAAAGUGAUGUUAUUAAUUCAAUUUUGUGAUAUAUUUAUACUUGAUACAA